UGCCAGCCGCCGCGGUAAGACGGAGGUGGCAAACGUUGCUCGGAAUCACUGGGCUUAAAGGGCACGCAGGCGGUCUUGUUCGUCAGGUGUGAAAGCUCGGGGCUCAACCCCGGAAGUGCACUUGAAACAGCAAGACUUGAAUACGGUAGAGGAGAGAGGAAUUCCUGGUGUAGAGGUGAAAUUCGUAGAUAUCAGGAGGAACACCGAUGGCGAAGGCAUCUCUCUGGGUCGAUAUUGACGCUGAGGCGCGAAGGCGUGGGUAGCGAACGGGAUUAGAUA
rnacentral:rRNA from 1 species